rnacentral:rRNA from 1 species
GAUGAACGCUGGCGGCGUGCUUAACACAUGCAAGUCGAACGAAGACAUCUGAGUGCUUGCACUUGGAUGGACUGAGUGGCGGACGGGUGAGUAACGCGUGGGUAACCUGCCUUAUACAGGGGGAUAACAGUUGGAAACGACUGCUAAUACCGCAUAAGCGCACGGUAUCGCAUGAUACAGUGUGAAAAACUCCGGUGGUAUAAGAUGGACCCGCGUCUGAUUAGCUUGUUGGUGAGGUAACGGCCCACCAAGGCGACGAUCAGUAGCCGGCCUGAGAGGGUGAACGGCCACAUUGGGACUGAGACACGGCCCAAAACUCCUACGGGAGGCAGCAGUGGGGAAUAUUGCACAAUGGGGAAACCCUGAUGCAGCGACGCCGCGUGAGUGAAGAAGUAUUUCGGUAUGUAAAGCUCUAUCAGCAGGGAAGAAAGUGACGUACCUGAAUAAGAAGCCCCGGCUAACUACGUG